UACGUAGGGGGCAAGCGUUGUCCGGAUUUAUUGGGCGUAAAGAGCGUGUAGGCGGCCAUGUAGGUCCGAUGUGAAAACUGGGGGCUCAACCUCCAGCUGUCGUCGGAAACCAUGUGGCUAGAGUCCGGAAGAGGAGAGUGGAAUUCCUGGUGUAGCGGUGAAAUGCGCAGAUAUCAGGAAGAACACCUAUGGCGAAGGCAGCUCUCUGGGACGGUACUGACGCUGAGACGCGAAAGCGUGGGGAGCGAACAGG
rnacentral:rRNA from 1 species